rnacentral:rRNA from 1 species
UUACCUACGGGACGCAGCAGUAGGGAAUAUUGCUCAAUGGGGGAAACCCUGAAGCAGCAACGCCGCGUGGAGGAUGAAGGUUUUCGGAUUGUAAACUCCUUUUGUUAGAGAAGAUAAUGACGGUAUCUAACGAAUAAGCACCGGCUAACUCCGUGCCAGCAGCCGCGGUAAUACGGAGGGUGCAGGCGUUACUCGGAAUCACUGGGCGUAAAGAGCGCGUAGGCGGGAUAGCAAGUCAGAUGUGAAAUCCUAUGGCUUAACCAUAGAACUGUAUUGGAAACAGUUAUUCUAGAG